rnacentral:rRNA from 1 species
UACAUAGGGUGCAAGCGUUGUCCGGAAUUAUUGGGCGUAAGAGCUCGUAGGUGGUUCGUCACGUCGGAUGUGAAAAUCUGGGGCUCAACCCCAGACCUGCAUUCGAUACGGGCGAGCUAGAGUGUGGUAGGGGAGACUGGAAUUCCUGGUGUAGCGGUGGAAUGCGCAGAUAUCAGGAGGAACACCAAUGGCGAAGGCAGGUCUCUGGGCCAUUACUGACACUGAGGAGCGAAAGCGUGGGGAGCGAACAGG